rnacentral:piRNA from 1 species
UGCUGGUUCUUGCUGCCUGAAUGAAUG